UACGGAGGGUGCGAGCGUUGUCCGGAAUCACUGGGCGUAAAGGGCGCGUAGGUGGCGACCCAAGUCCGUGGUGAAAGCUCGUCGCUUAACGACGAGUCGGCCACGGAGACUGGGUGGCUUGAGCACUGUAGGGGCUAAUGGAAUUCCGGGUGUAGCGGUGGAAUGCGUAGAGAUCCGGAAGAACACCAGUGGCGAAGGCGGUUAGCUGGGGCAGUUGCUGACACUGAUGCGCGACAGCGUGGGGGAGCAAAACAGGG
rnacentral:rRNA from 1 species